ACGGUUCAAGACAUACCUUUCGACAACCAAAAAGCACUGAUCUAGUAUCACAACCAUUGCUAUGGAUAACAUAAUAAGAUAAGGUAACAACAGUAUAAUCCCCGCAGUAGCUUUUAUGCUUCUCCUAAAUGCCUUUGAAUAGCAUAUGUAUGUACAUACGUACAUGCAUACAUACAUAGAGACGUAUCUACAUACAUCACAGGUAUUUAUGAUAGGAAGUAUAUAUAUUUCACUAACCAAACUUCAGCCAUAGAGUUUAUGACCCGCUUCACCCGAGAUCAGGUACAGUGAAGAACUCAUCAUCUUCAUCAGAAAUGU
rnacentral:lncRNA from 1 species